rnacentral:rRNA from 1 species
GAUCAUGGCUCAGAACGAACGCUGGCGGCAUGCCUAACACAUGCAAGUCGAACGAGACCUUCGGGUCUAGUGGCGCACGGGUGCGUAACGCGUGGGAAUCUGCCCUUCGGUUCGGAAUAACUCAGGGAAACUUGAGCUAAUACCGGAUAAUGACGUAAGUCCAAAGAUUUAUCGCCGAAGGAUGAGCCCGCGUAGAAUUAGCUUGUUGGUGGGGUAAUGGCCCACCAAGGCGACGAUCCUUAGCUGGUCUGAGAGGAUGAUCAGCCACACUGGGACUGAGACACGGCCCAGACUCCUACGGGAGGCAGCAGUGGGGAAUAUUGGACAAUGGGCGAAAGCCUGAUCCAGCAAUGCCGCGUGAGUGAUGAAGGCCUUAGGGUUGUAAAGCUCUUUUACCCGGGAUGAUAAUGACAGUACCGGGAGAAUAAGCUCCGGCUAACUCCGUG